AAUUAACGCUGGCGGCAUGCCUAACACAUGCAAGUCGCACGAGAAAGCCCGGUUCGCCGGGCGAGUAAAGUGGCGCACGGGUGAGUAACGCGUAGAUAAUCUGCCUGAUGAUCUGGGAUAACACUUCGAAAGAGGUGCUAAUACCGGAUAAGCCCACGGAGUCUUUGGAUUCUGCGGGAAAAGGGGGGACCGUUCGGGCCGUUCUGUCAUCAGAUGAGUCUGCGUACCAUUAGCUAGUUGGUAGGGUAAUGGCCUACCAAGGCUACGAUGGUUAGCUGGUCUGAGAGGAUGAUCAGCCACACUGGAACUGAGACACGGUCCAGACUCCUACGGGUGGCAG
rnacentral:rRNA from 1 species